UAGAAACUUUAUGAAUUGAACGUAUGAAUCCCGAGGUAUAUAUAGGAGGGAAAUUGCGUUCUUUUUUUUUUAGUGUAAACAAAUUUGAAAGCACUACUUGCAAUAAAUAUUUGUUGAGAGCACCUUUCAAAAAUUGACAGUUUAUCACGAGUUCAUUUCCGAUGAAUUUCACAAAUUAUUGUUAGCAUAGCAGCACUUGUUUAAAUAUUAUUUUAAUAUUACUAUUAUUAUUAUUUACCAUCCCCGCUUUCAUUAUUUGUGACUAAUACUAAGCUUUUUAGAGUGCAGGAGACUUACCCUGUUUUCCUUUAAAAGCUUAUCGAUUUUCGAGCUUCCAAUGCUAGAAUGGAUGGAAAAGGAUACACUUGCAACGAUUUGAAAGCUUUGUGCUUACAUGUUACUUUGAUGUAAACAACUUUUUAAAUUUCGUUACAAUUGCAUUUCUUCAGAAAAUGACGAAAAUGAAGGAAACUCUUUUUCACCGAGUUGGUUAACUAUUAUUAUUAAUUGCAUGGGCAAACGCUACCGCGAUCCCGGCACCUUCUUCGGAUCGGAGCACCAUACUCUGCCCGGCGUUGUAAAAUGCUCGCCAAACGCAUGGUGUCUGAUUAUGCAGAUGGCCUCACAUUCACUUAGAAUAUGAUGGGACGUAUCAUUCGUCCCUUGGAAGAACCUGCACAAAUCCCUAUCGGAUACACCCAUGUUUUUCAGACGUACCUAAGGGAAUUACGACCCGUGUAGAAACCCGCGACUCAACUUAGCUCGCUUCUGGUUAUUUCCAACAGUUUAUAUAUCAUAAGGGAAGAUUUUAUGAAU